CAGGCUACAGCCAGUCUUCUCAUUGGAACUAUAGAAUCUACUCUCCUGUUCUCUUUCUCUAGAGAAUGCUGACUAAUACAGAUUUUGAUACUGUGAAGUGGAAUACUGCUGUAACAAAUACCUACACAGCAGGCCUUGCCACUGCCAGCCAGUGCCUCAGAAACAAACCUCGCUGCCCAGAAUGAUGGUGGUGGUUCUACCUUCUAGGGCUGUGGGGAUGAUGCUGCCACAAUCGUUGAGACGAAGAGGAUUAUUCUGAGCCUUAUGAUCUAAUGGAGUUUGCCUUGAUAGAUUUUGAACUUAUUGGGGACCUGUCACCCCUGACUUCUUAUCAAUUUCUCCCUUUGAGUGAGAAUGUCUACCCUAUCCUAGUUCCACAUUGUAUGUGGGAAGCAUAUAACUCAUCGAGUUUCACAGGUUCACAGCUAGAGAGAAAUUUAACUUCAAGAUAAAUCAUACUUCAAGUUUCACGGCUACCUAAUUUAUAUAUGUAGAUGAUACUCUGGAUUUAGAGUUGAUCCUGGAAUUAGUUAAGAUGUGUCAGACUAUUGCGAGGGGUGAAUGUAUUUUGCAUGAGAGAGGACAUGAAUUGUGGGGGACAUGCAGAGAGUGGGACUGAAUGAUGUUCCCCCAAAUUCAUAUGUUGAAGUCCUAACUCUCAAUAUAAUUGCAUUCGAAGAUAAGGCCUUUCAGGAGAAAUUAGGUUAAAUGAGGCCAUAAAAGCAGGCCUUAAUCCAACAUGAAGAGAUACCAUGAAUUCACAUGAACACAGAAGAAAGAUUGUGUGAGAACAGCAAGAAGGCAGGUAUUUGCAAGACAAGGAGAGAGGUCUCAGGAGAAACCAAACUUGCCAACAAGUUGAUCAUAGACUUCCAGCCUCCAAAACAGUGAGAAAAUAAAUUUCUGUUGUUUCAGCCACCCAAACUGUGGUAUUUUGCUAUGGCAGCCUUUAGGUCAGUUAGCAAGUAAAACAAAGGCUGUGAUUAAAACCGAAUUUUAUUGAUUUCAUUGGCUCCAGAAAUUAUAUUGUAUCACUAUAAAAAUUGAUUUUUUAAAAAAGGAAGGUAGGCAACUUUAAUGCUUGGUUUGUAUUCACUUCUGGCUGCCUAGAAGAAAAUGAAUAUGAACUUUUGUUUCCAUACAAGCUCUAAGGCUGAAUGUUUUUGAUGAUAUAUUAUCAGUUAUCUUGUUUUACAAUGAAAUAUACAGAUUUUUUUUUUUACUUACAAUGAUGUUACUUCCUAAUAAACCCAUAAUCAAAAUGUCAAAACUGCAUCUACUACCCUGAUAAAUGCAAAGUCAAAACUUUGUAAGUCUGGGACUGUAUUAGACCAUUCUUGCAUUGCUCUAAAGAAAUACCUGAGACUGGGUAAUUUAUAUAAAAGGGAAUUAAUUGGCUCAUGGUUUGGCGGGCUAUACAGAAAGCAUGAUGCUCACUUCUGCUCAGCUUUUAGGGAGGCCUCUGGAAGCUUACAAUUAUGGCAGAAGGUGUAGGCGGAGCAGGCGUCUCACAUGGUGGGAGCAGGAGCAAGAGAACUUGGGGGAGAUGCUACACACUUUUAAAUGAACUGAUCUCACAAUAACUUACUCAUUAUCACAAGGACAGUACCAACGGGAAUGGUGCUAAGUCAUUCAUGAGAAAUCUGUCCCCAUGAUCCAAUCACCUUCCACUAGGCCACCAGGCCCCACCUCCAACACUGGGAAUUACAUUUCAAUAUGAUAUUUGGGCAGGGACACACAUCCAAACUAUAUCAGGAACCAUCUGUAAUAAAUUUAAUGGAAAGUUCAAAAAUUGUAAUAAUUUCCAACUAACUUAACUGCGAAUAUAAG
rnacentral:lncRNA from 1 species